AUUGAACGCUGGCGGAAUGCUUUACACAUGCAAGUCGAACGGCAGCACGGACUUCGGUCUGGUGGCGAGUGGCGAACGGGUGAGUAAUGUAUCGGAACGUGCCCAGUCGUGGAGGAUAACGUAGUGAAAAUUACGCUAAUACCGCAUACGAUCUAUGGAUGAAAGCGGGGGAUCGCAAGACCUCGCGCGAUUGGAGCGGCCGGUAUCAGAUGAGGUAGUUGGUGGGGUAAAGGCCCACCAAGCCAACGAUCUGUAGCUGGUCUGAGAGGACGGCCAGCCACCCUGGAACUGAGACACGGGCCAGACUCCUACGGGAGGCAGCAGUGGGGAAUUUUGGACAAUGGGCGAAAGCCUGAUCCAGCCAUUCCGCGUGCAGGAUGAAGGCCCUCGGGUUGUAAACUGCUUUUGUACAGAACGAAAAGGUUUCUACUAAUACUAGGAGCUCAUGACGGUACUGUAAGAAUAAGCACCGGCUAACUACGUGCCAGCCGCCGCAGUAA
rnacentral:rRNA from 1 species